ACGGAAGGCAGCAGUGAGGAAUAUUGGUCAAUGGGCGAAAGCCUGAACCAGCCAAGUCGCGUGAAGGAUGAAGGUAUUAUGUAUUGUAAACUUCUUUAGCAGCAGAGUAAUAAGGGGGUCGUGACCUCCGAUGCAAGUAUGCUGAAAAUAAGGAUCGGCUAACUCCGUGCCAGCAGCCGCGGUAAUACGGAGGAUCCGAGCGUUAUCCGGAUUUAUUGGGUUUAAAGGGUGCGCAGGCGGUUUUUUAAGUCAGUGGUUAAAUCGUGAGGCUCAACCUCAUCACGCCAUUGAUACUGGAAGACUUGAUUGCGGUUGAGGUUGGCGGAAUUCGUCGUGUAGCGGUGAAGUGCAUAGAUAUGACGAAGAACACCGAUUGCGUAGGCAGCUGACCAAGCCGUAAAUGACGCUCAUGCACGAAAGUGCGGGGAUCGAACAGGAUUAGAUACCCUGGUA
rnacentral:rRNA from 1 species